rnacentral:rRNA from 1 species
UACGUAGGGGGCAAGCGUUGUCCGGAAUCAUUGGGCGUAAAGCGCGUGUAGGCGGCCCGGUAAGUCCGCUGUAAAAGUCAAAGGCUCAACCUUUGAAUGUCAGUGGAUACUGCCGGGCUAGAGUCCGGAAGAGGCGAGUGGAAUUCCUGGUGUAGCGGUGAAAUGCGCAGAUAUCAGGAGGAACACCGAUUGCGAAGGCAGCUCGCUGGGACGUUACUGACGCUGAGACGCGAAAGCGUGGGGAGCAAACAGG